AAACUUUUUCUUUGAAGGCAGGUGAUAUCAGACUUCUACCUCGGAUGGUUAAAAAGUUAUGGCUGGUAAUUCAGAUCUAUUCAGGGAAUGAAUGGGACUUCUACUACGUACAUCGGUGUGUCUGGUAAAAGACUCAGAGUGAGACAUCCUGUGGCUGGUGGACGAUCUGUGGACGGGUCCUCUCUCCCUCACAUUCUGCCUGGAAACAAAACAGCUGAGAGGAGAUCAGUUUGACCUGAAAACACCUGGAAACAUCUGGAAACAUCUGGAGCGUUUCAACCAGAGGGUCUGAGGUUUAGAGAAAAAGCACCAGCUGUGACUUCCUGUGAUGGGCGGAGAGCAGAGCUGCGAGGAGAAGACCGAGGAGAGAGAAGACGAGGAUGAAAAUCAUCACGAGUCCGACGACGCCUCUGAAGGAGAGCUGCCCCAGUGCAGGAUGGGAAACAGGAAGGUGGACGACAUGUGUUUCAUGAUCUCCUGCACUAACUGGUACUGAACUGGUUCUGGUGCAGCAGCUCGACCACUGAAGAACGAGUCCCUUGUACAAGCUGUAUUAUGUGAUUCUUUAAAUAAAGUCCUGCAGCGUUGAUGACGAGUUGGAAGAACAGACGAUGGCUCCAGGUCCAAACACCUCCGGGGAAACAGAUGAAUCCACUUUUCUAUUGUUUCUUUCCCUGAAACAAAGGUGUAACAGAUGUGAGCUCUGCCGUAUGAACUGUGUUUCUUCAGUAAAACUACUGGAACCAAAGAAGAGUGUAUUAAAUCACAUAUUCUAUAAACUCACAGGAACAGCUCUGUAAAGAUAGAA